rnacentral:rRNA from 1 species
UACAGAGGGGGCAAGCGUUAUUCGGAAUUAUUGGGCGUAAAGGGCGCGUAGGCGGCCUUUCAAGUGACGGGUGAAAGCCCUCGGCUUAACCGAGGAACUGCCUGUCAGACUGGAAGGCUUGAGACCGGGAGAGGUGAGUGGAAUUCCCAGUGUAGCGGUGAAAAUGCGUAGAUAUUGGGAGGAACACCAGUGGCGAAGGCGGCUCACUGGACCGGUACUGACGCUGAGGCGCGAAAGCGUGGGGAGCAAACAGGG